rnacentral:rRNA from 1 species
GACAGAGGGUGCAAACGUUGUUCGGAAUUACUGGGCGUAAAGCGCGUGUAGGCGGUCGUGCAAGUCGGGUGUGAAAGCCCGGGGCUCAACCCCGGAAGUGCAUUCGAUACUGCAUGGCUAGAGUACCGGAGAGGGUGGUGGAACUCUCGGUGUAGAGGCGAAAUUCGUAGAUAUCGAGAAGAACACCGGUGGCGAAGGCGGCCACCUGGACGGAUACUGACGCUGAGACGCGAAAGCGUGGGGAGCAAACAGG